rnacentral:tRNA from 1 species
GGGCGCUUAGCUCAGUUGGCUAGAGCAUCUCGUUUACACCGAGAGGGUCGGGGGUUCGAGUCCCUCAUCGCCCACCA